rnacentral:lncRNA from 1 species
CAAGUCCCCUCAGUCUAUCCUCAGCCUGGCCCAGUCCCUUUUCCGCGGGACUCAACUUCUUCCAUGAUUGACCCAGGCUACGUAGAAAGGUACAGGAGACUGAACCCAUCUACUUUUGUAGGGGAAUCCUCUUUUGAAGAUGCUCAGUACUGGUUGGCAAAGAUGGAGAAGGCCUUCAAGACCCUAGGAGUGACUCCCAAGUAGUGGAUCACCCUUGCUACCUACAUGCUGGUGGGAGAAGCAGACCACUAGUGGGAACUCAAGCAGACCACCCUGCCUGUUCCAGUUACUUGGGAACAAUU